UUUAGGAGCCCAGUAAAAGCUAUCUGUACUUGCUUGGUGGUAUACGGCUGGGAUUAAAUUUAUAUUUAGCUCAGUUUAAUGACCAUGUCCCGGAUAUCCUUGGCAUCAUUUUUGGCCACGACCUUGACACCCGGGUGUAGGCGUACACCCGGUACUACGCGUAAUAGGCUGGUUACUCCUAGCAUCAAAUAGAAGUCUCGCAAGCUUAGAUGCCUGAAGUCUGUUGAACAAUGUUUCAUUUAUCUUUGAUCCGCCUGUGGAUCCUUUACUUUCCGUUUGUAAUACUUUGAUAUUACUUUAU
rnacentral:lncRNA from 1 species